rnacentral:rRNA from 1 species
GACGAACCGUGCGAACGUUGUUCGGAAUCACUGGGCUUAAAGGGAGCGUAGGCGGGCUAUCAAGUCUGGGGUGAAAUCCCGCGGCUCAACCGCGGAACUGCCUCAGAUACUGACGGCCUCGAGGGAGAUAGGGGCAUGCGGAACUGUAGGUGGAGCGGUGAAAUGCGUUGAUAUCUACAGGAACUCCGGUGGCGAAAGCGGCGUGCUGGGGCUUAACUGACGCUGAGGCACGAAAGCCAGGGUAGCGAACGGG